UUUUUGACAACCAUUCGUCACAUGAGUCAGAGAGGAGGUUUGCGUGGGUAGAUCUCUGUGGGCGGAUGCAUCUGUGGGUGUCAGGGUGAGACAGACGUAGAUAGAUGGCUGUAAUUAAGUAGUUAGUGAAAUGGCUAUAAUAGUCAAAUGAUUUUCAGAUGGAGUUUCAGAUGGAGAGCUUGUUUUUUUGUUUUCUGGGGUUUUUUUUUUGUUUUAAAAAAGCUCAUUUAAAAAGAAAUCUCCCGGCAUUUAUGUGCAAUGCUCUUCUGAGGCGCGGCGAGCACGACAAGAGGAGGCAGUUCCAUUUGCUUGAAAAUGCAGCGCAAAACAAGCUGAUCUCCAUUUGUUUUUCAGGGGGAAAAGGCCGUCGUUGAACAGCGAGCCAUGUGAUCAAUGUGGGACUUCAGAAGAAAUGCAAGAUCUCAACAAAAAUGAGAUGACAGCAGUCAACUUAUGAGAGCCAGCCUCUGAAAUAUGGCGAUGAUGAUGAUGUCACCUUUCACAAACACACAAGAACAUACCAUCUAACAUUUCUCUGAUGAACACAGGGACAUGUCAAGACCCCGUGACCACACAGUUCCCUAGGGAGUGAAUAACCAGACAAGACAACGGCAUAUAGAUUUAUGGGUUCAAAUAGGCCACAACUUUAAUGGCUACAGAUAUGAAUGGUUUGGCACAGACACUGGGUGAAGCCAAAUUAUUCCACUCUACUAAAUCAAAUAAGUGUUGGAAAUGUAAA